ACUAAUGCAAUUUAUUAUAACUUCUAUAAAUGUUUGUAUUGCAAAUAUACACAGCUCCAUUACUUUUAUUUCAAAGCCAAAAAGCCAGAAGAAAAAAAAAUAAAAAAAAUAAAAUGAUUUUGGGAGCUAUACCAGAGCUUAUAUACAAAACAAUCAUCAGUCCUGAUUUUGUUAUUAUAGUCUUUGGGAACUUAAAAUUUACGCAAACACAUGCACCUAAACCAGUAAAGUACACUUACUACAAUGCAGUAAUUACUUGUUUUGUUUUGAAUGAAUCCUUUGAUGCAUUACAAAAUUUGAGCUAUUGGCAAAACAUUUACCACAAUAAGCACAUAAAAACGGUUUCUCGCCUGUGUGAAUCCUCUGGUGAGUAACAAGAUAUGACUUAAUCGCAAAACAUUUUCCACAUUCAGAACAUACAAAUGGUUUUAUUUCAGCAUGUAUUCUCUGAUGCUUAGCAAGAUUUCCAUUGCUGCUAAAGGACUUCCCACAUACUGAACAUGAGAAUGGCUUCUCCCCUGUGUGAAUUCGCUGGUGUAUGAUCAGAGGAAAAUUAGCACUAAAACAUUUCCCACACUGUGCACAAGAAAAUGGUUUCUCUCCUGUGUGAACCUUUUGAUGAGUAACAAGAUAAGAAUUACUUCUAAAACAUUUUCCACAUUCUGUACACUGAAACGGCUUCUCUCCUGUGUGAAUUCUCUGAUGUUUAACAAGAUCCGACUUGCUGGUAAACCAUCUUCCACAUUCUGAACAGCCAAAAGGUUUUUCACCAGUGUGAAUUCUCUCAUGGGCAAGAAGAUGGGCACUUAUUGCAAAACACUUUCCACACUCAGAACAUGAAAAUGGUUUCUCUCCAGUAUGACUCCGCUGAUGCGUCACAAGCCUUGAUCUGCAAGAGAAAUCUUUUCCGCACUCUGUACAAGAGAAUGCUCCAACUCCCGUGUGAAUUGUCUGAUGUUUCACAAGUUCAGUGUUACGGAGAAAACUUUGUUUGCAUACAGAACAUACAAAUGGUCUUUCUCUUGUGUGAAUAUUUUGAUGUGUUAUUAGAUUUGAGCUAUUUGCAAAACGUUUCCCACAUUCAGAACAUGCAAAAGGCUUCUCUCCUGUAUGAAUUCUCUGAUGUUUAACAAGGUCUGACUUUGUUAUAAAGCAUUUUCUACAAAACAAACAUAGAAAUGGUCUUUCUCCAGUAUGAAUUCUCUUAUGUGAAAGAAGAUGUGAACUAAUUGCAAAGCAUUUCCCACAUUCAGAGCAUGCAAAUGGUUUCUCUCCAGUAUGAGUUCUCUGAUGAAUGAGAAAUUGUGAUUGUGUAUAGAACAACUUUCCACAUUCCAUACAUGGAAACAGGUUCUCCUCAGUAUGAGUUUC